GUGAAUCAUCGAAUCUUUGAACGCAAAUUGCACUCUCCGGUUUUCCGGGAGAGUAUGCCUGUUUGAGGGUCAGCCUAAAAAAAAUCCACAUUGUUGCUGUUUUUUGGUGACUUUCGUUGGGGAAGGGUUAUCCUUAAUCUCGGGUUUAGCGACUUAAAAAUUUUUUUUACGAUUCUAAGGAUUUUUUUAAGGUUUUUCUUGUUCGGUUAAGGUAUCGAAUUUCUUAUUACACGUG
rnacentral:misc_RNA from 1 species